UCUAAGUACAUGUGUUUAACACGAAACCGCGUAUGGCUCAUUAUAACAGCUAUAAUUUACUUGAUAUUGACAUUAAUCCUACAUGGAUAACUGUGGUAAUUCUGGAGCUAAUACAUGCAUAAAAGCUAUAUCCUUACGGAUAUGGUGCGGUUAUUGGAUCAAAACCAAGCAUCUUCGGAUGUUUAAGUUUGACUUCAAGUAAUUACACAGCUGAUCGCAUGGUCUUGUACCGGCGACGCGUCAUUCAAGUGUCUGACCUAUCAACUUUCUAUAUAAGUAUAUAGUACUUAUAUGGUUUUGACGGGUAACGGAGAAUUAGGGUUCGACUCCGGAGAAAAUGCCUGAGAAACGGCGUUUACAUCCAAGGAAGGCAGCAGGCGCGAAAAUUACCCACUCUCAGUACGAGGAGGUAGUGACGAGAAAUGACAAGAUCUAGUCCUUCGGGGCUGGAUCAUUGGAAUGGUUUGAUUUUAAAACCAUUAAAGAGUAUCAAUGAGAGGGCAAGUCUGGUGCCAGCAGCCGCGGUAAUUCCAGCUCUCAUACUGCAUUGAAUUGUUGUUGCGGUUAAAAAGCUCGUAGUUGGAUCUCUACACGAUAGGAUGGUUCACUCUUUGAGUUGUAACUAUUACUAAGUGUUGUUUAUCAGAUUUAUAUUUCGUAAGAAAUAUUGUCUGAUGAGUUUACUUUGAAUAAAUCAGAGUGCUCAAAACAGGCGUAAGCUUGUAUGGUUUUGCAUGGAAUAAUAGAACAUGACUAUGGUACAUGUUUUAUUGGUUUUACUUACCAUGGUAAUGAUUAAAAGGAACAAACGGGGGCAUCCGUAUCGCAGGGCGAGAGGUGAAAUUCGUGGACCCUUGCGAGACGAACUACAG
rnacentral:rRNA from 1 species